CUUCAAACUCUGUUGAAUUUCGGUGUCUACAUCUUUCAGUGUGCACAUUGUUCAUGUUUUCAAAACUCACAUUAGUGCACUAGAUUUAGGUUGCAACUUGAAGUGAAUGAUGGGAGCAUGAGCACCGUGGUUGUGCUAUUUGAUGAAACAGCCGAAAGUUUGAUUGGCAAGACUGCUAAAUCACUGGUUGAUGAUCAGCUCGAGAUGUGGCUCUGAAAAAUUCCAAGGCCACUCAAGCACCAGCCUUGUAAAAAGACAAUCUGGAGAAAGAGCCUGCUGAAAUUCAGAAAGUUCUAUUAGCAAUGCAGAUGAGGAAGGAACUUCAGUGAAAUCUUCCAAAUGUUUUUGUUGCUAAAAAAGUUACAUUUUUGUACUCACGGGAUGUUCUAUGGUACGCAUGGGCCAUUGGCAUUGUUUAGAGGUAAAGAUGCAAGCAGAGCACUUGCAAAAAUGUCAUUUUAAGAGAAAGAUAUUACCGGUGAUAUCACUGAUCCAGGUGCGUUCGAGCUUGAUGCAUUGCAAGAUCGGGAAUACAAGUUCAUGAGCAAGUACGUCAAGGUUAGAAACAUCAAGAAACUUGAAGGUGCGCCUGAGCCAUCAACUGCUGCAGAAACCACCGAGGCAGCCGAAGCCAACCAUCGUGAGUUAAAUGUUAAAGAACCGUCUACGGCUGCAGCUGCUCCUUAUGUUUGAGAGCCCAAAGAAGCUGCAGAUGAGGAAGGAACUUCAACCACAAUAGAAGCCGUUAAAGAUGUUAAAGAUGAGUAGAGUUUUAUGAUGGCUGAGUAGGGUUUGGAUUGAGUGCUCGUUAUUGUUGAUUAAUAUUUUGCGAACAAGUUAUACCUCCUAUAAUUAAGCUAGAGUUAAUGACUAAGGUAAUUGUACUUAUUCCAAACUUAAAA